GUGAGGAAUAUUGGACAAUGGGCGCAAGCCUGAUCCAGCCAUGCCGCGUGCAGGAAGACGCAUCUAUGGUGUGUAAACUGCUUUUGUACGGGAAGAAACACUCCCUCGUGAGGGAGCUUGACGGUACCGUAAGAAUAAGGAUCGGCUAACUCCGUGCCAGCAGCCGCGGUAAUACGGCGGAUCCAAGCGUUAUCCGGAAUCAUUGGGUUUAAAGGGUCCGUAGGCGGUUUAAUAAGUCAGUGGUGAAAGCCCAUCGCUCAACGAUGGAACGGCCAUUGAUACUGUUAGACUUGAAUUACAAGGAAGUAACUAGAAUAUGUAGUGUAGCGGUGAAAUGCUUAGAUAUUACAUGGAAUACCAAUUGCGAAGGCAGGUUACUACUUGUGGAUUGACGCUGAUGGACGAAAGCGUGGGGAGCGAACAGGAUUAGAAACCCCUGUAGUCC
rnacentral:rRNA from 1 species